CAUUUUAUAACCACACACACGCACGCACGCGCACACACACACGUUAACAUCUACUAUUUUCGUAAAAAAAUAUAAAAACGUUUAGAUCACUAUUUUAAUAACUAUAUAUUUAAUAGUCUAUAAUAGUGGUUGCCAAACACACGUUUAUUUAGUAUAGUGUCGGUCAAAAAACAGAUGCCAUGUAGAAACGGUGCAUCAGGGUAACUUUAGCUCCAGCUCCGCCCCUGAGUUUAUGGAAAUCUUUAUCAAUAUCCACACCAUGAAAUCUAUUGGGUAUGAAAACGUCCUUAACUUUUCUCUGCGGGUUGGCAUCGCAACGACCAUUUGGCAGCAACUUGCACGCCUAUACAUACAUAUUGGUUGACUCCCGGCCUCCCCCGAUGUGCAAUGCAACUUGCCCACACGUCGGCGACUCCUGCACCGUAGCUUGCCCAGCUACUAUUCUAUCGCUAGAUGGAUUGACCAAAUGAGCAGCCGGCCGGGGUUCCCUGGUGAAGUGUUACUAUAGAUAUUUGCUUCAUGCGAAAGAAACGUCGGGCGAGAGAGUGGCGUCGCAGCACGCAACGCGGGCGCGCACGAGGGGUUCAGCAAUCCCAAGUAAACGCGGCACCGCCAAGCGGCUGUUUUUAAAAGGCCGGAUCUGAUCUGGACGUACGUCUGCCUCGACCUCGACUAGGCUGCUAAUAACGACGACACGGAAAAGGUUGACGACGGACCAGCAUCGCCGUCCACACGCGCGCUUGGAAUGCAUCCGCGGCCGCGACUGGAACUGCAAGUCUGCAUAGCACAAACAAAUCAGAACUACAUGCUCACAAUAGUGAAACCCUACGAGAGCGAGCAAAGUAACAAAUUGAAGCAAACGAAGAACUGGCACAUGCAGAGCUAGCAGGUCUCUCUCUCUGAAGAAAGUAAAGAAGCACAAGGAAUUCCAAAUUAUGCGCACGCAAAAUCGCAGGGCAGUUCUCCUUUGGCACUAGCUAAGGCCUAGCUAGCUGCAUGGUUGCUAUGCUACUGGUACAGGACUACCGGUGCCAAAGGAGAAUUGCCCCGUAAUUCACGGUCCGCCACAUUGCUGCUGCCUUGCCCUGCUGCUGCUC
rnacentral:lncRNA from 1 species